AGAGUUUGAUCUGGCUCAGGAUGAACGCUGGCGGCGUGCCUAAUACAUGCAAGUCGAACGCACAGCGAAAGGUGCUUGCACCUUUCAAGUGAGUGGCGAACGGGUGAGUAACACGUGGACAACCUGCCUCAAGGCUGGGGAUAACAUUUGGAAACAGAUGCUAAUACCGAAUAAAACUCAGUGUCGCAUGACAAAAAGUUAAAAGGCGCUUCGGCGUCACCUAGAGAUGGAUCCGCGGUGCAUUAGUUAGUUGGUGGGGUAAAGGCCUACCAAGACAAUGAUGCAUAGCCGAGUUGAGAGACUGAUCGGCCACAUUGGGACUGAGACACGGCCCAAACUCCUACGGGAGGCUGCAGUAGGGAAUUUUCUACCACCUAUAGGGACGAAAGGCUGAUUGGAGCAACGCUGCGUGUGUGAUGUACGCUUACCGGGUUCGUAAGGCCACUGUUGUAUGUGCAGAACAGCUAGAAUAGGAAAUUGAUUUUAGUUUGACGGUACCAUACCAGAAAGGGACGGCUAAAUACGUGCCAGCAGCCGCGGUAAUACGUAAUGUCCCGAGCGUUAUCCGGAUUUAUUGGGCGUAAAGCGAGCGCAGACGGUUUAUUAAGUCUGAUGUGUAAGCCUGGAGCUCAACUCCGGAAAUGGCAUUGGAAACUGGUUAACUUGAGUGCAGUAGAGGUAAGUGGAACUCCAUGUGUAGCGGUGGAAUGCGUAGAUAUAUGGAAGAACACCAGUGGCGAAGGCGGCUUACUGGACUGCAACUGACGUUGAGGCUCGAAAGUGUGGGUAGCAAACAGGAUUAGAUACCCUGGUAGUCCACACCGUAAACGAUGAACACUAGGUGUUAGGAGGUUUCCGCCUCUUAGUGCCGAAGCUAACGCAUUAAGUGUUCCGCCUGGGGAGUACGACCGCAAGGUUGAAACUCAAAGGAAUUGACGGGGACCCGCACAAGCGGUGGAGCAUGUGGUUUAAUUCGAAGCAACGCGAAGAACCUUACCAGGUCUUGACAUCCUUUGAAGCUUUUAGAAGAUAGAAGUUGUUCUCUUCGGAGACACAAGUGACAGGUGGUGCAUGGUCGUCGUCAGCUCGUGUCGUUGAGAUGUUGGGUUAAGUUCCCGCAACGAGCGCAACCCUUAAUUGUUAUGUUGCCAGCCAUUCGAGAUGGGCACUCUAGCGGAGACUGACCGGUGACUAAACCGGAUGGAUAGGCGGGGACGACGUCAGAUCAUCAUGCCCCUUAGUGACCUGGGCUACACACGUGCUACAAUGGCGUAUACAACGAGUUGCCAACCCGCGAGGGUGAGCUAAUCUCUUAAAGUACGUCUCAGUUCGGAUUGUAGUCUGCAACUCGACUACAUGAAGUCGGAAUCGCUAGUAAUCGCGGAUCAGCACGCCGCGGUGAAUACGUUCCCGGGUCUUGUACACACCGCCCGUCACACCAUGGGAGUUUGUAAUGCCCAAAGCCUGUGGCCUAACCUUUUAGGAAGGAGCCGUCUAAGGCAGGACAGAUGACUGGGGUGAAGUCGUAACAAGGUAGCCGUAGGAGAACCUGCGGUUGGAACACCUCCUU
rnacentral:rRNA from 1 species